UUCGCAAUGCCCGAAAGGGUGACGAAGCGACGCCGCGUGUGGGAUGAAGGCCUUCGGGUUGUAAACCACUGUCGGGAGUUAAGAAUUGUAGGAAUGCUAAUAGUAUUUCUACUUGACUAAGGCUCCGGAGGAAGCCACGGCUAACUCUGUGCCAGCAGCCGCGGUAAUACAGAGGCGGCAAGCGUUGUUCGGAAUUAUUGGGCGUAAAGAGCACGUAGGCGGCUAUGUAAGUCGGUUGUGAAAGCCUUCCGCUCAACGGAAGAACAGCAUCCGAUACUACAUGGCUUGAGUGCGGGAGGGGAGAGUGGAACUUCUGGUGGAGCGGUGAAAUGCGUAGAUAUCAGAAGGAACGCCGGCGGCGAAAGCGGCUCUCUGGCCCAUAACUGACGCUGAGUGUGCGAAAGCUAGGGGAGCAAACGGGAUUAGAUACCCCGGUAGUCCUAGCCGUAAACGAUGGGCACUAAGUAGAGGGGUUUU
rnacentral:rRNA from 1 species